rnacentral:rRNA from 1 species
AGGGCGCACGGUGGAUGCCUUGGCACUAGGAGCCGACGAAGGACGUGACAAACGACGAUAUGCCUUGGGUAGCUGUAAGUAAGCGAUGAUCCAGGGAUUUCCGAAUGGGGGAACCCAACAGGUAAUACCUGUUACCUACAUCUGUUAAGGAUGUGAGGAGGAAGACGCAGUGAACUGAAACAUCUAAGUAGCUGCAGGAAGAGAAAGCAAAAGCGAUUGCCUUAGUAGCGGCGAGCGAAACGGCAGAAGGGCAAACCGAAGAGUUUACUCUUCGGGGUUGUAGGACUGCAAUGUGGACUCAAAGAUUAUAGAAGAAUGAUUUGGGAAGAUCAGCCAAAGAGAGUAAUAGCCUCGUAUUUAAAAUAGUCUUUGUACUUAGCAGUAUCCUGAGUACGGCGGGACACGUGAAAUCCCGUCGGAAUCUGGGAGGACCAUCUCCCAACCCUAAAUACUCCCUAGUGACCGAUAGUGAACCAGUACCGUGAGGGAAAGGUGAAAAGCACCCCGGGAGGGGAGUGAAAUAGAACCUGAAACCGUGUGCCUACAACAAGUUCGAGCCCGUUAAUGGGUGAGAGCGUGCCUUUUGUAGAAUGAACCGGCGACAGACGUUAUGAUGCGAGGUUAAGUUGAAGAGACGGAGCCGUAGGGAAACCGAGUCUGAAUAGGGCGCCUUAGUAUCAUGACGUAGACCCGAAACCAUGUGACCUACCCAUGAGCAGGUUGAAGGUGCGGUAAGACGCACUGGAGGACCGAACCAGGGCACGUUGAAAAGUGCUUGGAUGACUUGUGGGUAGCGGAGAAAUUCCAAACGAACUUGGAGAUAGCUGGUUCUCUCCGAAAUAGCUUUAGGGCUAGCGUCGACAUUAGAGAUUCUUGGAGGUAGAGCACUGUUUGGGUGAGGGGUCCAUCCCGGAUUACCAAUCUCAGAUAAACUCCGAAUGCCAAUGAAUUAUGGUCGGCAGUCAGACUGCGAGUGCUAAGAUCCGUAGUCGAAAGGGAAACAGCCCAGACCACCAGCUAAGGUCCCAAAAUAAUUGUUAAGUGGAAAAGGAUGUGGGGUUGCACAGACAACUAGGAUGUUAGCUUAGAAGCAGCUAUUCAUUCAAAGAGUGCGUAAUAGCUCACUAGUCGAGUGACCCUGCGCCGAAAAUGUACCGGGGCUAAAACAAUUUACCGAAGCUGUGGAUACCUUUAUAGGUAUGGUAGGAGAGCGUUCUAUGUGUGAUGAAGGUAGACCGUGAGGAGUGCUGGAACGCAUAGAAGUGAGAAUGCCGGUAUGAGUAGCGAAAGACAGGUGAGAAUCCUGUCCACCGUAAGACUAAGGUUUCCAGGGGAAGGCUCGUCCGCCCUGGGUUAGUCGGGACCUAAGGAGAGACCGAAAGGUGUAUCCGAUGGACAACAGGUUGAUAUUCCUGUACUAGAGUAUGUAGUGAUGGAGGGACGCAGUAGGCUAACUAAAGCAGACGAUUGGAAGAGUCUGUCUAAGCAGUGAGGUGUGAAUUGAGUCAAAUGCUUAAUUCUAUAACAUUGAGCUGUGAUGGGGAGCGAAGUUUAGUAGCGAAGUUAGUGACGUCACACUGCCAAGAAAAGCUUCUAGCGUUUAAACAUACUCUACCCGUACCGCAAACCGACACAGGUAGUCGAGGCGAGUAGCCUCAGGUGAGCGAGAGAACUCUCGUUAAGGAACUCGGCAAAAUGACCCCGUAACUUCGGGAGAAGGGGUGCUGACUUAAAGUCAGCCGCAGUGAAUAGGCCCAAGCAACUGUUUAUCAAAAACACAGCUCUCUGCUAAAUCGUAAGAUGAUGUAUAGGGGGUGACGCCUGCCCGGUGCUGGAAGGUUAAGAGGAGUGCUUAGCGUAAGCGAAGGUAUGAAUUGAAGCCCCAGUAAACGGCGGCCGUAACUAUAACGGUCCUAAGGUAGCGAAAUUCCUUGUCGGGUAAGUUCCGACCCGCACGAAAGGCGUAAUGAUUUGGGCACUGUCUCAACGAGAGACUCGGUGAAAUUUUAGUACCUGUGAAGAUGCAGGUUACCCGCGACAGGACGGAAAGACCCCAUGGAGCUUUACUGCAGUUUGAUAUUGAGUGUCUGUACCACAUGUACAGGAUAGGUAGGAGUCUAAGAGAUCGGGACGCCAGUUUCGAAGGAGACGCUGUUGGGAUACUACCCUUGUGUUAUGGCCACUCUAACCCAGAUAGGUGAUCCCUAUCGGAGACAGUGUCUGACGGGCAGUUUGACUGGGGCGGUCGCCUCCUAAAAGGUAACGGAGGCGCCCAAAGGUUCCCUCAGAAUGGUUGGAAAUCAUUCGCAGAGUGUAAAGGUAUAAGGGAGCUUGACUGCGAGAGCUACAACUCGAGCAGGGACGAAAGUCGGGCUUAGUGAUCCGGUGGUUCCGUAUGGAAGGGCCAUCGCUCAACGGAUAAAAGCUACCCUGGGGAUAACAGGCUUAUCUCCCCCAAGAGUUCACAUCGACGGGGAGGUUUGGCACCUCGAUGUCGGCUCGUCGCAUCCUGGGGCUGUAGUCGGUCCCAAGGGUUGGGCUGUUCGCCCAUUAAAGCGGCACGCGAGCUGGGUUCAGAACGUCGUGAGACAGUUCGGUCCCUAUCCGUCGCGGGCGUAGGAAAUUUGAGAGGAUCUGCUCCUAGUACGAGAGGACCAGAGUGGACUUACCGCUGGUGUACCAGUUGUCUUGCCAAAGGCAUCGCUGGGUAGCUAUGUAGGGAAGGGAUAAACGCUGAAAGCAUCUAAGUGUGAAACCCACCUCAAGAUGAGAUUUCCCAUGAUUAU